AACGAACGCUGGCGGCAUGCCUAACACAUGCAAGUCGAACGAGUGCCUUCGGGUGCUAGUGGCGCACGGGUGCGUAACGCGUGGGAAUCUGCCCUUUGGUUCGGAAUAACAGCUGGAAACGGCUGCUAAUACCGGAUGAUGACGAUAGACCAAAGAUUUAUCGCCAGAGGAUGAGCCCGCGUUGGAGUAGGUAGUUGGUGGGGUAAAGGCCUACCAAGCCGACGCUCCAUAGCUGGUCUGAGAGGAUGAUCAGCCACACUGGGACUGAGACACGGCCCAGACUCCUACGGGAGGCAGCAGUGGGGAAUAUUGGACAAUGGGCGCAAGCCUGAUCCAGCAAUGCCGCGUGAGUGAUGAAAGCCCUAGGGUUGUAAAGCUCUUUUACCCGGGAAGAUAAUGACUGUACCGGGAGAAUAAGCCCCGGCUAACUCCGUGCCAGCCGCCGCCGUAAUAC
rnacentral:rRNA from 1 species